GGGGAUGUAGCUCAAAUGGUAGAGCGCUCGCUUAGCAUGCGAGAGGUACAAGGAUCAAUACCCUGCUUCUCCA
rnacentral:tRNA from 1 species